rnacentral:misc_RNA from 1 species
UCCGUCCGCCUCUGCACGCC